rnacentral:rRNA from 1 species
CCUACGGGAGGCUGCAGCAAGGGAUUUUCGACAAUGGGCCAACGCCCGAUCGAGCAACGCCGCGUGCAGGAUGACGGCUUUCGAGUUGUAAACUGCUUUUGUGGGGGAUGAUAGUGACCGUACCCCACGAAUCAGGCUCGGCUAACUCUGUGCCAGCAGCCGCGGUAAGACAGAGGAGCCAAGCGUUGUCCGGAGUUACUGGGCGUAAAGCGCACGCAGGUGGUGACGCAAGUGCCAUGUGAAAGCCGGCGGCUUAACUGCCGGAGGCCAUGGCCGACUGCGGCACUGGAGCCCGUGAGAGGUCUGUGGAAUUGCCGGUGUAGUGGUGAAAUGCGUAGAGAUCGGCAGGAACACCAAAGGGGAAGCCAGCGGACUGGCACGGUGCUGACACUGAGGUGCGAGAGCGUGGGGAGCGAACCGGAUUAGAUACCCCAGUAGUC